rnacentral:rRNA from 1 species
CUACGGGGGGCAGCAGUAGGGAAUAUUGCGCAAUGGGCGAAAGCCUGACGCAGCAACGCCGCGUGAGUGAGGAAGGUCUUCGGAUUGUAAAGCUCUGUUAAGGUGGAAAAACAAAUUACGGUCUAAUAGGCAGUAAUUUUGAUGGUACACCUAGAGGAAGCACCGGCGUAACUUCGUGCCAGCAGCCGCGGUAAUACGAAGGGUGCGAGCGUUGUUCGGAUUUAUUGGGCGUAAAGCGCGCGCAGGCGGAUUAUUAAGUCAGGUGUGAAAUCUCGGGGCUCAACUCCGAAACUGCGCCUGAAACUGAUAAUCUAGAAUCUCAGAGGGGGUAGGGGAAUUUCUUAUGUAGGAGUAAAAUCCGUAGAGAUAAGAAGGAACACCAGAGGCGAAGGCGCCUACCUGGAUGAGUAUUGACGCUGAGGCGCGAAAGCGUGGGGAGCAAACAGGAUUAGAUACCCCAGUAGUC